rnacentral:rRNA from 1 species
AUUGAACGCUGGCGGCAUGCCUUACACAUGCAAGUCGAACGGCAGCACGGGGGCAACCCUGGUGGCGAGUGGCGAACGGGUGAGUAAUACAUCGGAACGUGCCCAGUAGUGGGGGAUAGCCCGGCGAAAGCCGGAUUAAUACCGCAUACGACCUACGGGUGAAAGCGGGGGAGUCGCAAGACCUCGCGCUAUUGGAGCGGCCGAUGUCAGAUUAGGUUGUUGGUGGGGUAAGGCCUACCAAGCCUACCGAUCUGUAGCUGGUCUGAGAGGACGACCAGCCACACUGGGACUGAGACACGGCCCAGACUCCUACGGGAGGCAGCAGUGGGGAAGUUUUGGACAAGUGGGGGCGAACCCUGAUCCAGCCAUGCCGCGUGCGGGAAGAA